UACGUAGGGGGCGAGCGUUGUCCGGAUUUAUUGGGCGUAAAGAGCGUGUAGGCGGCCAGGUAGGUCUGCUGUGAAAACUCGAGGCUCAACCUCGAGACGUCGGCGGAAACCAUCUGGCUAGAGUCCGGAAGAGGAGAGUGGAAUUCCUGGUGUAGCGGUGAAAUGCGCAGAUAUCGGAAAGAACACCAACGGCGAAAGCACUCUGCUGGGCCGACACUGACACUGAGAGACGAAAGCUAGGGGAGCGAAUGGG
rnacentral:rRNA from 1 species